AUGCUCGCUUCAGUAGCACAUAUACUAACAUUGGAACAAUACAGAGGAGAUUAGCAUGGCCCCUGUGCAAGGAUGACACACAAAUUUUUGAAGCCUUCCAUAUUUUU
ensembl:snRNA U6 U6 spliceosomal RNA